GUUAAGCGACUAAGCGUACACGGUGGAUGCCCUGGCAGUCAGAGGCGAUGAAGGACGUGCUAAUCUGCGAUAAGCGUCGGUAAGGUGAUAUGAACCGUUAUAACCGGCGAUUUCCGAAUGGGGAAACCCAGUGUGAUUCGUCACACUAUCAUUAACUGAAUCCAUAGGUUAAUGAGGCGAACCGGGGGAACUGAAACAUCUAAGUACCCCGAGGAAAAGAAAUCAACCGAGAUUCCCCCAGUAGCGGCGAGCGAACGGGGAGCAGCCCAGAGCCUGAAUCAGUGUGUGUGUUAGUGGAAGCGUCUGGAAAGGCGCGCGAUACAGGGUGACAGCCCCGUACACAAAAAUGCACAUGCUGUGAGCUCGAUGAGUAGGGCGGGACACGUGGUAUCCUGUCUGAAUAUGGGGGGACCAUCCUCCAAGGCUAAAUACUCCUGACUGACCGAUAGUGAACCAGUACCGUGAGGGAAAGGCGAAAAGAACCCCGGCGAGGGGAGUGAAAAAGAACCUGAAACCGUGUACGUACAAGCAGUGGGAGCACGCUUCGGCGUGUGACUGCGUACCUUUUGUAUAAUGGGUCAGCGACUUAUAUUCUGUAGCAAGGUUAACCGAAUAGGGGAGCCGAAGGGAAACCGAGUCUUAACUGGGCGUUAAGUUGCAGGGUAUAGACCCGAAACCCGGUGAUCUAGCCAUGGGCAGGUUGAAGGUUGGGUAACACUAACUGGAGGACCGAACCGACUAAUGUUGAAAAAUUAGCGGAUGACUUGUGGCUGGGGGUGAAAGGCCAAUCAAACCGGGAGAUAGCUGGUUCUCCCCGAAAGCUAUUUAGGUAGCGCCUCGUGAAUUCAUCUCCGGGGGUAGAGCACUGUUUCGGCAAGGGGGUCAUCCCGACUUACCAACCCGAUGCAAACUGCGAAUACCGGAGAAUGUUAUCACGGGAGACACACGGCGGGUGCUAACGUCCGUCGUGAAGAGGGAAACAACCCAGACCGCCAGCUAAGGUCCCAAAGUCAUGGUUAAGUGGGAAACGAUGUGGGAAGGCCCAGACAGCCAGGAUGUUGGCUUAGAAGCAGCCAUCAUUUAAAGAAAGCGUAAUAGCUCACUGGUCGAGUCGGCCUGCGCGGAAGAUGUAACGGGGCUAAACCAUGCACCGAAGCUGCGGCAGCGACACUAUGUGUUGUUGGGUAGGGGAGCGUUCUGUAAGCCUGUGAAGGUGUACUGUGAGGUAUGCUGGAGGUAUCAGAAGUGCGAAUGCUGACAUAAGUAACGAUAAAGCGGGUGAAAAGCCCGCUCGCCGGAAGACCAAGGGUUCCUGUCCAACGUUAAUCGGGGCAGGGUGAGUCGACCCCUAAGGCGAGGCCGAAAGGCGUAGUCGAUGGGAAACAGGUUAAUAUUCCUGUACUUGGUGUUACUGCGAAGGGGGGACGGAGAAGGCUAUGUUGGCCGGGCGACGGUUGUCCCGGUUUAAGCGUGUAGGCUGGUUUUCCAGGCAAAUCCGGAAAAUCAAGGCUGAGGCGUGAUGACGAGGCACUACGGUGCUGAAGCAACAAAUGCCCUGCUUCCAGGAAAAGCCUCUAAGCAUCAGGUAACAUCAAAUCGUACCCCAAACCGACACAGGUGGUCAGGUAGAGAAUACCAAGGCGCUUGAGAGAACUCGGGUGAAGGAACUAGGCAAAAUGGUGCCGUAACUUCGGGAGAAGGCACGCUGAUAUGUAGGUGAAGCGACUUGCUCGUGGAGCUGAAAUCAGUCGAAGAUACCAGCUGGCUGCAACUGUUUAUUAAAAACACAGCACUGUGCAAACACGAAAGUGGACGUAUACGGUGUGACGCCUGCCCGGUGCCGGAAGGUUAAUUGAUGGGGUUAGCGGUAACGCGAAGCUCUUGAUCGAAGCCCCGGUAAACGGCGGCCGUAACUAUAACGGUCCUAAGGUAGCGAAAUUCCUUGUCGGGUAAGUUCCGACCUGCACGAAUGGCGUAAUGAUGGCCAGGCUGUCUCCACCCGAGACUCAGUGAAAUUGAACUCGCUGUGAAGAUGCAGUGUACCCGCGGCAAGACGGAAAGACCCCGUGAACCUUUACUAUAGCUUGACACUGAACAUUGAGCCUUGAUGUGUAGGAUAGGUGGGAGGCUUUGAAGUGUGGACGCCAGUCUGCAUGGAGCCGACCUUGAAAUACCACCCUUUA
rnacentral:rRNA from 1 species